rnacentral:rRNA from 1 species
UACGGAAGGUGCGAGCGUUAAUCGGAAUUACUGGGCGUAAAGCGCGCGUAGGCGGCUUGGUAAGUCGGGUGUGAAAGCCCCGGGCUUAACCUGGGAAUGGCAUUUUGAACUGGCAAUCUAGAGUGUGUCAGAGGGGGGUAGAAUUCCACGUGUAGCAGUGAAAUGCGUAGAGAUGUGGAGGAAUACCGAUGGCGAAGGCAGCCCCCUGGGAUAACACUGACGCUCAUGUACGAAAGCGUGGGUAGCAAACAGG